CCCCUGCCGGACGGCGUCAGCUCCUCUGCGGGAGCCGUCGCCCCCCACCGCGGAUUCUGCGAAGUUGCGAGCUCCAAGCCAGUCGGUCCAGCAGCCUCCGACCUCCAGAACGGCAUCCCCGGCGCUUUUCUAUUGCAAGGGCCUAACGGAGCUGCGAAAGAGCUCUGAGAGGCCCUUUGUGUCUGCAGAGCCGCCGCAGGCGUCCGACAGGGGCCCUUACCUGAUCGGCUCCACCCGCGGCCAUCUUGGAAGUGGGAAGCGGCCGGGAGGGGGAAGGGGCACGAACGGGCAAGGACCAGGCGUGGGGAGCCGAGCGGCGGAGCGCAUCGAUGGGAGCCUUUUCCCUGCAGCCUGCAGGAGAUUCAAAGCAGCGAAUGUAUGGAAGCAGAACUCCUAGAAACAGCACAUUCCUAAAAGGAAGAAGCAGCAACAGAAUCCCUUCAGUCCAGUGACAUAUUUAUGGGCAUGAGCCUUAUAAAAUCAUCCCCAAAUUCAGGCAGAAACUUCUAACAAGAUGGUCACCACAGUGUUAUUUACAACAAUAAAAUGAACAUAAUGUGUCCAACAAGCAGGAAGACUGACUAAAUAGAAUGACAAAUGCAGCCAUCAUAAAACCUUUAGGAGUGCAGUUGGUUAGGAAUAAUUCAGCAUUCUGUAGCUCCCAGUAGGGCAUCUACGGUUGAGAACAAUUGUGUAUUUAAAAGUAGCUAGUAGGGAAGAUUUUGAAUGUUCCCAACACAAAGAAAUGACAAAUAUUUGAGGUGAUGAUAUGGCAGUUACCUGAUCUGUAUUGAAAUAUCACUGGUGCCCUAUAAAUAUGUACAAUAAAAUAUUGUAUCUAUUA